rnacentral:tRNA from 1 species
GUCUCCAUAGUCUAGUGGUUAGGACGGCGGUCUCAUAUAGCAUUAUGACGAUUCCUAUCUAAAGGAGUUGCAAUCCGCAAGCACGAGUUCGAUUCUCGUUGGAGGCA